AUGUACCACUCCGUACACUCCAGCUCCGAGCGCGCCGACCGCACGCUCCUGACGAUCGCUCGCGACGUUUUGCUGGCC
rnacentral:sRNA from 1 species